rnacentral:rRNA from 1 species
GACGGAGGAUGCAAGUGUUAUCCGGAAUCACUGGGCGUAAAGCGUCUGUAGGUGGUCAAAUAAGUCAACUGUUAAAUCUUGAGGCUCAACCUCAAAAUCGCAGUCGAAACUAUUCGACUAGAGUAUAGUAGGGGUAAAGGGAAUUUCCAGUUGGAGCGGUGAAAUGCGUAGAGAUUGGAAAGAACACCGAUGGCGAAGGCACUUUACUGGGCUAUUACUAACACUGAGAGACGAAAGCUAGGGUAGCAAAUGGG